rnacentral:lncRNA from 10 species
UCAGCCCCCCUGGGGAACUCAGCCCCCACUGGAGAACUCAGAGGUGGCAGAGACAUUCACAUCAGUGCUACCCCUCCCUCCUGCGGGGCGAGGGUGCUGAAAGGAGAGUACCCAUCAGUCAUUGUUUGAGGGCUGCUCCAGGGGCAUACAUUUUUUGGCCCUUCUGGCCUAUGUACUUUCCUUUGAAGAAUAUGUAAGUCUAGAAGGCCCUCAAGUCAAAGAUGCAGGUGUGGGCAGUGGGCAGUGGGAGUGGGGCUGGUAUGAACUGAAAUUGUGAGGUCUGAGGGGAGAUAGUGUGCCGUCCACAGAGGAUGAGCAGAAUCAAGUGGGAAUACAACAGCCACCCAAUGAGUAAUCUUAGAAGGAACUCAAGACCCCUGGGCUAAUGAGUUUCCAUUCCUGACUGUGCAAUAAGAGCUGGAUGCAUCUGUAACAAAAGGCGGGACCCCUGAGCCCUGGAGUACAGAGAUUCCUUGGGGAAUUCGGCAGUUAGUGGGGCUUUAUGGCAGAUUCUUUCAGGGUUAUGAUGGGCUUGGGGGGAUGGCAGGAGGGCAUCUCAGCGGACCUGUGCCUGGGUAAGGAAUGGGUAGAGGGUCAGAGAACUUGCUGGGCACUUCUCUGGGUGGAGAAUGAGCAACAGAAGUGUCCCAUGGUUAGGAUGAGGCCGCCUCAUUUGAAAUGUUAAUAAAUCAUCUGGAAAAGGGAUUUACGCAGUGAAAGCUGGGGAUGUGCAAAUGGCACUAAGUUUUUUGAGGGAAUGAAAUGUCAAGCCAAUGGGGAUACGCUACAGAAUCCCACAAGGGUGUGUACGAGUGGGCAGAGAAGUGACAGAUGAGAUUUGGUGUGGGCAAGUGUAAGAUAAUGUAUUUAAAGACAUAUCUCAAGUGCUGUAUGACUUCCUUCUGAGAUGAUUUGGGGAGGUCAUCCAGUUCUAUGGUGAGUAGAUCAUUUAUGCCAAUGAGCCCCAAGUUCAUGCCCUCAGCCCUGGCUUCACCUGAGCUCCAGACUCACCAUUUGACUCUCACUGACAUCACCACUGGGGUGCCUCACAGGUGCUCCAGAUCUGGCAGGGCGUCAAUGAGUUCUUGCUUCUUCCCUUACACCUGUUCCUCCCGCAGCCUUCCUCAUCUCACUAAAUGGCAACUCCAUGGAGCCUAUCCUUGCAUCUCUGCAAAAUGCACACAUCCCGAAAAAGUCGGCAGAUGGGAAAGGGAGGUAGGCAGAUAGCUGUGAAAGGUGCAUGGCCUCUGGCUUUUGGAAGGAUGACCAGAAGGGAUGGCUGGAAGCCCAAAGAACUGUGAAACUGAUGGGGGAAAGUCAAUGGGUUUCAUCAGUGAAUCCAAGGAUGGGAUGGCUAGGAUUUGGAAGUGUAAAAAGAUACAUGUCAGGAUGAAACCAAAGGAAGCUACCAGGCCCACUGUGUAUUUCCACAUGGAGUGCCGCUGCCCACCCUUCCCAGCUGUCUGCUGGAGGUAUCCUGUGCCUUUCAUCCAAAUCCUACUUUUUCUCUGCAUCCCCUGAGC